CAGUCCAAAAUAAAUAAAAUAAAAAUAAAAAUUAAAAUAAAACUAUAUUUUAUUUUAAACAACAUAAAUGUAUAUUAUAUAGUUUAAUAAGUUUUAUUUGAUUUAUAUAGACAUUACUUGUUCCAUUAUUAAAUUUAAAAAAAAAAAAAAAAAAAUAGACUAGACUAAGCUAGGCUAUAUUUUUUUAACAACAUACAACAUGUAGCAAGCACUUUUUAACUUAUUUUAUAUUGUUUCUUUCUUUUUUUUUUAUUUCUUACUUUUUCUUUUAUAAAAAAAUAUUGUUCAUAAAUACUAUAUAUAUUUUAAAGUUGCAAAUUAUUUUUAUUUGUUUUUUUUUUUUAAAUACUGUUAAAUAUAUGUUAAUCAUUUUGUUUAUAAGUGAUUUUUUUUAUAUAAAAAACAAGUCCAUAAAAAGCCAUUUAUAUGUACAUAUAUAAGAGCAUAAAUUUUAUAAAAUGAAUAAAUCAGGUAGUUUACAAAGCAAUUUGACGGUACAAUUAUCAACUGAUAAAUUGUCACACGAUUCAAAUAUUUUAGAAAAUUUUAUUUGCGACGAAACCCGUGAUGUCCGUUUUAUUAAUAAUAGCCAAAAAAGUUUUAUAACUCAUGAUCCCAGUUUUUACAAAGGAACCCCUUAUUCUGUACAAAAAACUAUAUCUGGGAAUGUUGGAAAUAUAGGUGAUGUAGAGAAUGGCCAGGAUAUGAAAAACUUAAAAAAGUAUACAGAUAAUUAUAUAAAGUAUUUAAGAAUAAAACAAAUUCCAUAUAUAACAAACAAUAAUAAUAAUAAUAAUAAUAAUAAUAAUAAUCAUAAUAAUAAUAAUAAUCAUAAUAAUAAUACUAUUAUUCAAAAUGGAUAUCAGCCAUAUAUUGCGGAGCAAACGUUAAAUGAUUACAAUUAUAAUACGAAUAAAUUUAAUAAUGAUAAUGUUAUAGUUUCUAAACAACGCAAUGAGUUUGUUGCCAAAAAUAAUCAUGUUGCAUUAAAUGCGAAGAAAAUAAUUUAUCCAGAAGCAAAAAAACAUUCGAAUAAUAACAUUCACCUAAAUGAAAAUGAUUUAUUAUAUAACUAUAAUUCGGGUGUGCAAAAUAAACAAGUAUAUAAUAAUACCGAUCGAAUGUUACCUAACAUGUAUUCUAACAAUUUAAAUAUAGACAGAAAAAUCCCUACUGUAUAUCGUAAUAAUUUAGAUUUCGAUUCAAAAAAUAAAGGUUGUUGUUUUAACAUGAGUCCCUAUUUAUAUCCAAAUAAUAAUUAUAAUAGAUACAAUAACGUUUGCAAUUCAUUAACCCAUGCAAAUUAUGUAAAUGAAUAUCCUUAUAUGAAAGAUUUUAAUAAUUUUUAUGCAAUGCCACCCUAUGUUUAUUUAGAGAAAAAUAAUGAAAACGGAUGUUCUUUUAUAAAACAUAAUACAAAUUGUAUACUAAAUGGAUGUAAAUCAAGUAAACCUAAAUAUGAAUAUAUGAUUAAUCAGAGACCACCCAUUUAUACACACAUACCUUUUGAUCAAGAUACUAAAAGAUUUAAUAUAUUUAAAAAAUUAACAGUAACAGUAGGAACAUACUUAGAUGAUGCUGUAAAUACAUUGAUGGAUAUGUGUGAAUUUUCAUAUAAAAAUAUGGUAAAAAAUAAUAAUACUAACUUGUAUGAUUUACAUCCUUUUUAUAACCCGGACCCUAAUUACACAAGAGCUGAAAGACCUACAAUGAAAACAGGAAACGAUUUAAUGGACAAAAUAAAUUGUGCUUUAGAUAGUACUACAUUAGAGGAACAUAAAAACUUGCCACCAGAAUUUAAAAAAAUAGUUAUUCCAGAUACUCAAAAAACAGGGAGUAAAUUAGUUGAUGGUUUUAAUCAUGUAUUGGAUAAUUUUUUAAAUGAUGCAAUGUCAUAUCAUAAAUAUGAAUAUUAUAAGGGCCAAGAUAUGAACAUGAAUACAAUGAAGCAAUAGAAACUGUAAAUCGUUGAAAGGUUAAUAAAAAUAAAAAGUACCUCUG
ensembl:lncRNA